CUAGCGACUUCAGAGUUUGAUCCUGGCUCAGGACGAACGCUGGCGGCGUGCCUAACACAUGCAAGUCGAGCGGAGCCAUCCGAAUGAACCCUUCGGGGCGAUUUCGGGGAAGCUUAGCGGCGGACGGGUGAGUAACGCGUGAGUAACCUGCCCAUGAGAGGGGAAUAACACACCGAAAGGUGUGCUAAUACCGCAUAACAUAUCUUUGCCGCAUGACAGAGAUAUCAAAGAUUUAUCGCUCAUGGAUGGACUCGCGUCUGAUUAGAUAGUUGGUGGGGUAACGGCUCACCAAGUCGACGAUCAGUAGCCGAACUGAGAGGUUGAUCGGCCACAUUGGGACUGAGACACGGCCCAG
rnacentral:rRNA from 1 species